UUGAGCCUUGCCAUCGUUCCUCUACAAAGGAUUUUGGAGAAGUGCUUGGGAGUUACACGCUUUUUCACUACGGUUUUAUUCUAAUCAGAAUGAAAUCAUAAAAUACAGCUCCGACUUGAUGCUUCGCACUGAAGGGGCAGUGAAUUCAUGAGUGAAAAGGCUAAUUGCG
rnacentral:sRNA from 12 species